GCUCUGGUAGCCUAGUGGUUAGAGCGUCCGGCUCGGAUGCUGGAGGUCGCGAGUUUAAACCCGGCCCAGUCACA